UACGUAGGUGGCAAGCGUUUGUCCGGAAUUAUUGGGCGUAAAGCGCGCGCAGGCGGCCUUUUAAGUCUGAUGUGAAAGCCCACGGCUCAACCGUGGAAGGUCAUUGGAAACUGAAAGGCUUGAGUACAGAAGAGGAAAGCGGAAUUCCACGUGUAGCGGUGAAAUGCGUAGAGAUGUGGAGGAACACCAGUGGCGAAGGCGGCUCACUGGUCCGGUACUGACGCUGAGGUGCGAAAGCGUGGGGAGCAAACAGG
rnacentral:rRNA from 1 species